CCCACGGGAGGCAGCAGUGGGGAAUAUUGCGCAAUGGGCGAAAGCCUGACGCAGCGACGCCGCGUGAGGGAUGAAGGUCUUCGGAUCGUAAACCUCUGUCAGCAGGGAAGAACGGUCACUGUGCUAAUCAGCAGUGAAUUGACGGUACCUGCAAAGGAAGCACCGGCUAACUCCGUGCCAGCAGCCGCGGUAAUACGGAGGGUGCGAGCGUUAAGCGGAAGUACUGGGCGUAAAGCGCUCGUAGGCGGUAUGGCAAGUCAAGGGUGAAAUCCCCGCGCUCAACGGGGGAACUGCCUGGGAAACGGGCAAACUGGAGUGGGUGAGAGGAGAGUGGAAGUGCAGGUGUAGGAGUGAAAGCCGUAGA
rnacentral:rRNA from 1 species